UUUAAUAAUCUAACCUCACCUCAGAUUUUCCUUACCUAUCUUCCCGCCUCGCCCAUCUCUCUCUAAGGCUCUCACCACCGCCGUGUCUCCGUCUCCGCCGCUCUCACCCCGAUCUAUCUGUCCGUCUCUCCGGGGCCACUGGGCUAAACUGAGGAAUUGGGAUCAUCUCAAUCUGCAGUCUCGUAAUAUUACUUAUAUAAGAGCUCGUAUGCAGUGAGCUGACCUAGCUGCUGCGUCUGCUGCUGUGCUAUACGAUGCUGAUUAUCCCAAGGUAACAUUUUAAAGUACAUUGCGGGUAGACUUCUCAACAAGACAAGUGCAUCAUGGACGAUCAAAAGGACUGGUUUGGUGCAUCAAUGGCAGUGCAAACAGCGGAGAUUGCUAUGUAGUUCUAUACACCUAUCACUAUCAUGAUAAGAAAGAAGAUUAUUACCUGUGCUGGUGGAUUGGAAAGGAUAGUAUUGAGGUAAACUAUUGUCAGUUGAAUAAGAGAAUCUGAUUUGCAUGUUUUUCUUCCAUUUUGUUAAAUUGUGUGCUUUAAUCCAACUUAAGCCCAAACUAAUAGUGAGGAAGAGUAUAUAUUCAUACUAGUGAAUAACAUUU